rnacentral:rRNA from 1 species
AUGGAACUCGUCUCCUGCGGUUGGACCGCGGUGAACAUUAACGGUGAGAUCGGGCCCUACUUCCCCACUCUCUGUGGGGUUCUCCAGGGAGACCCUUUCUCCCCGUUUCUGUUCAACAUGGUGGUUGAUGCCCUUGCUGUCAUCCUGGAUAAGGCCAAAUCUGCUGGCCAUAUUCACGGCGUAGUCCCUCACAUGGUAGGAGGGGGAGGGGUCUCCCUCCUACAAUAUGCAGACGAUACCAUAAUAAGGUUGGAGGGCUCCGCGUCCGAUAUAGCGAACCUGAAGUUCGUCCUCCUAUGCUUCCAAAAGAUGUCCGGGCUCACAAUCAACUUCGAUAAGAGCAAAGUGAUGAUCCUUGGCUACCCCCCAGAGGUGGCCUAGGCUAUGGCCGACCGGCUGAAUUGUCGGCUGGGUACUUUCCUCACGACCUACUUUGGGAUACCCAUUAGUGACUCGAGACUCACAGUGGCUGACCUUCGCCCGACAGUGACCCGGAUGCAGCACCGGGUUGAGCCCUGGAAGGGGAGGUGGCUCUCGAAGGCAGCCUGCGUGAUCCUCAUCAACUCCUCGCUUGCCAGCCUACUCUGGUUUCUCAUGAGCUUCUAUAGCCUCCAUGAGACGCUCCACCAGGAGAUCGCCAAAUACCAGUCCAAGUUUUUCUGGGCAGGCGAGGGGGAUAAGCAGAAAUACCAUAUGGUGAGUUGGCCCGACAUUUGCAAACCCAAGGACCAGGGUGGCCUUGGGAUCUUGUCCUCCCGGCGCAUGAACAUUGCUAUCCUGACCAGAUGGCUCUGGCGGAUCGCCAAUGGGGAGGGAGGCCUCUGGCUUACCAUAAUCCGCAAUAAGUAUCUUCGGGGAAAACCACUUGCUUUCUGUCAGCGUUCUGGUGGCUCCCAGUUCUGGCAGGCCAUGAUUCAGCUCCUACCCGUGCUCCGCAUCGGCACGUCCAUCUCGGUUGGCUCCGGGUCCUCGACCCUAUUCUGGUUCGAUCGGUGGGUAGGGGAUGCCCCUUGGCCGCUCGAUUCCCAACACUAUUCACCAUAG